rnacentral:lncRNA from 1 species
CCGAGUGCGCUCCCCCACGCCCUGGGGGGUCCCGGGCGCUAGGACCAGGGCUCCCCGGAGAGACAGCGGCCCCCAGUUCGGGCCUAAAAGGAAACUUUCUGGGCCGCGGCUGCACCUGACUCCUCACCGCCCCUCCACCCGACCCCACGCCCGCCAGGCCGCCCGCCCCGCCCCGCCCCGGCCUGGCCGUCCGGAGCGCGGAGGAGGGGGAUAAAUAAAUUCAACUCUUACCGGAAUCUGGGGGCCGUCUGCGAGAGACCCGGGGGAAGGGGAGCCGGGCGCCCAUUCCCCACUCCCCACUCCUAGGCCCUGACGCCCCUGUCCCGGCAGCCCGGGCCUGCCGCCCCGCGGGAAAGCCUCCGGGCCGGCGCGGGAUUCGGCCCAGCAGCGCCGCCGUCCCACCCGGAGACCCCGGGGGACUCGAGGGGGCGCGCGGAGGCCCGGGGUGCGGGGGCAGGGCGCGGCUGCCGUGGGGCCUACCGGCCCGAGGCCUACCGGCGCCCCCCCCUCCCGCCGCACACCCCCACCUGGCCCGCGCAGGCCGCUCCGCUCGCCCCACUCCGGCUCCGGCUGGACCCCUGCCCGCCCGCCGUCGCCGCCCGCGGGCGCCCCGGAGGCCCUCAGGCCCCCGGCCUCCACCACCCGGGCGCCGGCCCCACUCACCCUUUCAUUCUCCGCCCGGGGCCUGGCGUGGGCCGGCGAAUCCCCGGCCUCACAUCAGAGUGAGAGGCGCUGGCAAUGGACUAGGAAGCUCGGCUGCCGCUGCUACUGCUCCCCCCUGGGCUCCGGCGAGAGCCUUUCCCUGUCAAGCAAGAGGGGUGAGGAUCAUAUUUUUAUUUUGGAAACUAAAAAGUGCUCCCAGGGUCGGUGAUUAUUAAGGGGAAAUCCCUGAAUAUACUCUCCAGCCAAGAAGGCAGGGCUGCCGGGGCUGUACAAGAAGAGGCAGCAGCCUCCUACAGCACCACUACAGGCACUGCGAGGACAUAACACCAGAGAGCUGCUCCUCUGCCCUCCGAAACGACAACUUUCCUACCAUCUUGGAGGCAGAGCAAAGGGGGGCCAGGGGGAAAAGUGCACCCGCUCCCGAUAAAGUACAAAUUUUUACUUCUCAUCUCUGGAAAAAAGUCCACACCGGCCGUCUACACCCGCGCCUGGGGGAGAAAGCAGGGAAGAAACGGGGGGUGCAUGAGAAACGUUUUCAUUUGCUCCAGGGGGAAAAAUGUUUCUGCAUCUUCUGAUGGAAAGAAAUCUUUACAAGACACAGGUUUUCCGGUGGUUAUUGUUUUUUAUUUUCUGUUUUUAAUUUUUUUCAUGUUAGUGACAGUGAUAUUUUAAUAUUUUUUUAAGCCAGUAAUAAUUUUUCUCCAUUACAGGGCUAAGUUCUGUGGCUGGUGGUCAGUUUGUAAAUUUAUACUUAAAGAGACUUAAUAGUAACUUCAUUUAUUUGUCUGGUUAUGUUAUUGUAUAUAUAAAUAUUUAUGUUUUCAUAUAUUGCAUAUAAAAAUUUGUGUUACAUGUUACUCUCAGAACAGAUUGCUGUAAGACAAUUGUAAAAAAACAUGUCUUUCGUCUGUUUCUCAAAGCAAUGUAAAUAAAACCUAUGGACUGUCCAGAAAGGCAUGAUACAGUGUGUCAUUUUCCACAGUGCAGAUAAAGGCAGCUAUCACUGGGGAUUUAAAAACGGCCCCUGUUUCUGGAAAUUCUGUUAUGCUGCCCAUACAGAAAGGAUACAGUAAAACUGGAAAGAGAUUUUAAAGACAGCCUUAGAUUUUUCUUGAGGUAAAAUAGCUUAUUAAGAAUUAUAUCCGGGCAUUUAAUUUUUUUAUUUAUUUAGAUUCUUUAAACUCUAGCUAGAUCUUUGGUGCAUUACACAUGUUGCUAUCUGCUUUUUGUGUCACAGAAUUGAGAAAUGUGGCUAUUUUUGUUAGUUAUGUUAGUUCAGAACUUCCAAUGUGCUGCCAGCCUGUAUGAUAGACUUUUUGUAUAUUGCAGUGGAUGUCAUGAAUUUACUUUUUUAAAUGAGCAAAGCUUACUAGAUAAAUGGGAUCAGAGUUAAACAAUGCUGUUAGCACAGAGGUGAGAGGGACAAAGGGUACCCAUUUACAUCGAUUCCAAUAGAACGCUUAUUGGAGGAUAAAUUGCAGAGACAUUUUUCUAUUUUUGUGAAGAAAGAGAAAAAUAAUAGAAAAAGAACCGACUAUCUUUGUAUGUUCUACUGGGGAUGAUGAUUUAAAUCUUGUAUUAAAAGUUAUUUUUCUAACACAUGUUGACUAACCUGGCAGGAAUGAAUUUGUUAUAUUAGUGCCCUGAAUCAGUAGAAUAUUUAAUUUCUUU